GAUGAACGCUGGCGGCGUGCCUAAUACAUGCAAGUCGAGCGAACAGACGAGUAGCUUGCUCCUCUGACGUUAGCGGCGGACGGGUGAGUAACACGUGGAUAACCUCCCUAUAAGACUGAGAUAACUUCGGGAAACCGGAGCUCAUACUGGUUAAUAUAUUGAACCGCUUGGUUCAAUAGUGAAAGACGGUUUUGCUGUCACUUAUAGAUGGAUCCGCGCCGCAUUAGCUAGUUGGUAAGGUAACGGCUUACCAAGGCAACGAUGCGUAGCCGACCUGAGAGGGUGAUCGGCCACACUGGAACUGAGACGCGGCCCAGACUCCUACGGGAGGCAGCAGUAGGGAAUCUUCCGCAAUGGGCGAAAGCCUGACGGAGCAAAGCCGCGUGAGUGAUGAAGGUCUUCGGAUCGUAAAACUCUGUUAUUAGGGAAGAACAAAUGUGUAAGUAACUAUGCACGUCUUGACGGUACCUAAUCAGAAAGCCACGGCUAACUACGUG
rnacentral:rRNA from 1 species